GACUUUGUCGCCCAAUGGAUAAGGCGCUAGUCUAUGAAUCCAAAGAUUAUGGGUUCGAUCCCCAGUGGAGUCA
rnacentral:tRNA from 1 species